GGUCUGGUGCGUCUUAUAGAGCGAAAAAUACGGUAUUCCCCCCCCCCCGGAAAACGUGAUGUUUACCACUAAAUUGGAAGAAAUGGCAAUCUAUGGAGCCUCGAUAAGGAAGCGGCUGUUUUUAGAGGAAGCACUGCGAGGGGAGAGAGACUUUGUGCUGUUCAUCAGGCAAUGGCUUUUCCCACAUGCCUUGCGCCACCCUCCAGCCCUAGGGGCCUUUCCCACACCAUGACAUUAGGAACAGCAGGAGCAGCUGGGAAGAGAGGAGGAGCCUCAGAAAACAAGCUUAGGACUUGCAGCCGGACGCGGCUGAGCGUGUUCCUUUGCAUGAGAGCCAUCUGCGGCUAUGUAUUUUGUUCUUCCAGGGAAGUGAGCAGAGAUUCAGGUGCGGGGCGAAAUUGGAGACCAAACUAUAUGGUUGCUUCCUGA